rnacentral:lncRNA from 1 species
GAACUACUCCUCUCCCCAAGCUCUUCUAAAUGUAUUGUCAUUUUUUCUUUUUCUAGCAAACUAGAAAAAUGGUCCAACUUGUCACUAUCCUCAAGUGCUUCAACUCUACUAGAAAAUGGAAAGAUACAAUGAUUAUCGGCAGAGAUCUAGGAGAAGGUGUGUUCCAUCUUGGAAAAGUGGAUGUAUCUGAACUUGAUGUCCUUAAGGAAGCUUAAGAGACCAUCGGUAUCAACGUCUUCAGACAAAGGCGUCAAUCAUUUUACACCAAGCCAGAUUUGAUAAGAGCUGCUUCAAACUGAAAUACCUAUAAAGGAAAAUUUCCUGAGGCCUUCUCCUAAAAGGAUAUAGAAGACUAUGUAUUUGCUCAAGAAAUCCGCAUAUGAUAUUUCAGGUCUUUCAGAAUGACACUUUCAUAUGAAUGUGAUAUUAAAAUGAUAUGAUUGUAAAGUGGAACACAGGGGAUGACUGAAGGAUUAUUGCAUUUUACCUUUAUUGUUUUAACUAUACCUCUACCUGUAGCCUUCUCAAUGGGUCUACAUUCCUUUGGUUUAUUUACAAUCCUAACUUAGGACAUUGCUAGCCAUACAAUUAAACACAUUGUUUUUGGGAUUAUAUAAAACCUGUAGGUUACACACAGGUUCUAAACAAAUAUUUUAAUAUUUUUUUCAAUAUAUCAGCCUUGUUUUGCAGUACUUUCUGCUGUUUUGUUUGUUUGUUUGUUUGUUUUCAGUAUAUAGUUCAGGCCAUUAUUACAUUUUGAGUUUUACAGUGAUACAAUGUAUAAAUAUAUCAUUUCAGUUUUAAAUAUAGCACUGAUCUUAACUAGCAGCAAAGGUCUUGUUAAAAUGUUUCAAAAGAUCAUGUAAUAACCAUAGCCAAAAGAACAUAUACCUAGCAUUGAUAUAAAUAUUCUUUCUGUUCUCUUUUAUCACUUCUCCUCUCACCCAUAAAUACUUAAUCCAAAACUAUUACUUUUCAAAUGUUAGUAACAAAAAAAGGAUGUCAUACUUAAUUUUUGUAUAUCCCAAAUACCACUUUAACAUUUAUUUCUAUAAAUGGAAUUGGUGAUAAAGGAAUUGAUAUAAUUGUGAAAAGCCUACUUCUCUGAAAUUAAUAAAAUUAUUAUCUAUGAAAUCAAGAUUUUAAUAAGUAAAAAGAUUAAAAGGUUUUC